UACGAAGGGGGCGAGCGUUGUCCGGAAUCAUUGGGCGUAAAGCGCGUGUAGGCGGCCCGGUAAGUCCGCUGUGAAAGUCCAGGGCUCAACCCUGGGAUGCCGGUGGAUACUGUCGGGCUCGAGUCCGGAAGAGGCGAGUGGAAUUCCUGGUGUAGCGGUGAAAUGCGCAGAUAUCAGGAGGAACACCAAUGGCGAAGGCAGCUCGCUGGGACAUGACUGACGCUGAGACGCGAAAGCGUGGGGAGCAAACAGG
rnacentral:rRNA from 1 species